rnacentral:rRNA from 1 species
UACGGAGGAUCCAAGCGUUAUCCGGAAUCAUUGGGUUUAAAGGGUCUGUAGGCGGUUUGGUAAGUCAGUGGUGAAAGCCCAUCGCUCAACGGUGGAACGGCCAUUGAUACUGCCAGACUUGAAUUAUUAGGAAGUAACUAGAAUAUGUAGUGUAGCGGUGAAAUGCUUAGAGAUUACAUGGAAUACCAAUUGCGAAGGCAGGUUACUACUAAUGGAUUGACGCUGAUGGACGAAAGCGUGGGUAGCGAACAGG